GCGGGGUGGAGCAGUCUGGUAGCUCGUCGGGCUCAUAACCCGAAGGUCGUUGGUUCGAAUCCAGC
rnacentral:tRNA from 1 species